rnacentral:lncRNA from 1 species
GACCGUGAAGUUAGGCGAGGAGGCUGGGCGACCGCGCUGGGGCACCCAAACCCUAGCGUUUCCAGGAGACGAACCCCACGAGAGCCCAGCCUUCCACCUCUCCACAUCGCGACUAGAAUCCUACUCCUUUUCCGGUCCCUCCUCACAACAAAUCCCCAGCGGAAGGGUUCCGCCUCCUACACUCGCGGAUGCCGGCUUUUGCAUUUGCAUUAGUUAAUGUGAAUUUGUGGUCACCGUUAACUCGAGCUCCUCUAUCAAAUUAUGUCUGCAAUGAAAUAAAGAGAUGUUCCUAAUAAAAGGCCACGAAGACCUACCUACCUUCUCGUCCUACGAGUCACGCCGUGCUGUUUUCGUAUUUACGAGCUAUCUCCUCAGUCUUGGAAAACCGACUCUAAUGCUUAAAAUCAAGUACGGAAAUGCUUUUUCCGAGAAACCCAUUCUCUUUCAAUGCGCUCAAGUAAUCACAGAGAACAGAAGUCCACAUCUAAAGUACAUUCUUUGAAACUGACCCUUUAUUCUGUUCAGGAUACACCGUAUGUAGCAGAAAACUCCUUACACUCAGUUUAGACGUUUAUUGGAAGUAGAAACGGAGCAGUAUGAAAGAUUCUAGUAUGAAUCUAAUAUGAAGUUCAUACUAGUUUUUUUUUUUUUUUUUUUUUUUGUCAACUUGACAUUAAUUUGAUUCACCAGGAAACAGGGACCCUCUCCUGAAUUGCCUUCAUUAGACUGAACUGCGUGUUUGUGGGGCGGCGUUUUCUUGAUUGAUGUUCAGCCCUUUGGAAAGUGGAACUGGGUUGUAUCUGAAGCUUGCAUUUAUGGAUCUCGCCCAGACUUCCCUCAAUGAUUGAUUAGGAUCUCUAAGCCAAAGAGAAAGAAACCCUUCCUAGAGUUGCUUUUAGUCAGUGUUUUAUCCCAGCAACUAAAAGCAAACCAGGAACGGUUAAAAAACAAACAACAAAAUAAAAAAUAAUGCCCUCAUAAAAAGAAGGGUAAACUCCUAAAAUUUAGGGCGUCAUUCUACAUUUCAGCAGGCAGUGCUGUCCUUUAAAUCGGGGAAACUUACUAAGCUCUCAUCCUCUGAGCUAAAAUACUAACCUCAUAAGCUGUAUGAAAACCAGCUGCUCUAUCACUGUCAGAGGUCCCUGUGUUUGGAGGUAUAUGGCCAUUUCUCCAAAUGAAGGUGGAAAGUUUUAUACACAAGUUGAAGUGUCAUGUUUUUGCUGGAUUGACAGACCCACGGAAAAUCAUGGUUAACACUCUUAAGGACUUCUGUGCAUGGACUGUACUUAACAUUAAGUGUACACCACACAGCUCCAUAGCCAUCCCAGUCUCGCUUCAGCAAAGGCAGGAAGUGAUAUGCUUAAAUACUGGUAGGAAGCAAAGAACCCUCUAAAUCCCCCCACGCAGCAACAAAACGCUUUUCUGUAAGUUCAGUUGAGCUGUGUCAGAAAUAAAAUUGUGGUGACUGUAAUGCAGUAUGUAGCCAUUACUGUAGGAAAGUUCCAGAGUAACUCCAGUCUUACUUAUGAACAAGCUGUAAACUAGCUCAUACAUAUUUUAGAAAACUCAACACCCAUUUAACAUUUGCAAUGUGUUCUAGUUCUUUAAUAAAAAAUGAAGGGUAAGUCACUUU